GGCUUAGAGUUUGAUCAUGGCUCAGGAUAAACGCUGGCGGCGCACAUAAGACAUGCAAGUCGAACGGACUUAACCAUUAGUUUACUAUUGGAGCGGUUAGUGGCGGACUGGUGAGUAACACGUAAGCAACCUGCCUAUCAGAGGGGAACAACAGUUAGAAAUGACUGCUAAUACCGCAUAUGCCAAGAGUAUCGCAUGAUACAAUUGGGAAAGGAGAAAUCCGCUGAUAGAUGGGCUUGCGUCUGAUUAGAUAGUUGGUGUGGUAACGGCAUACCAAGUCGACGAUCAGUAGCCGGACUGAGAGGUUGAACGGCCACAUUGGGACUGAGAUACGGCCCAGACUCCUACGGGAGGCAGCAGUCGGGAAUAUUGCGCAAUGGAGGAAACUCUGACGCAGUGACGCCGCGUGCAGGAAGAAGGUUUUCGGAUUGUAAACUGCUUUAGACAGGGAAGAAAAAAGACAGUACCUGUAGAAUAAGCUCCGGCUAACUACGUGCCAGCAGCCGCGGUAAUACGUAGGGAGCAAGCGUUAUCCGGAUUUAUUGGGUGUAAAGGGUGCGUAGACGGGAAAUUAAGUUAGUUGUGAAAUCCCUCGGCUCAACUGAGGAACUGCAACUAAAACUGGUUUUCUUGAGUGUUGGAGAGGAAAGUG
rnacentral:rRNA from 1 species